rnacentral:lncRNA from 1 species
GGGUCGUGUUCCGGGUACAAUCACAAAGAACCGUUGGGUUUUGAAGACGAAGAUUCCGACUGAAGAAAAAAGCUCUCCUGGAAAUAGUUUGUAAAAUGUGGAGAGUGGUAUUAAUUGUCGGUGUAUCUCUGGAGCUGGUGGAUCGUGCAAGCCGGUUGAGAUAGAGAAUGGGUCCGAUAAGACUGUUGGGUUGGAGCUUGUGGGAGCUUCAACUGUUCUCUCAGUUACUUGAUGAGAGGUGUGGUUGCAACUAGGUGGCUUGGAUGUGACUGAAGUCUUAGCUUGUUCUUGGAACUGGAGGCUGGGAAGACUUGAACGUAAAGAUUACUGAAGUUACUAGUGAUGGGUUUCUUGGAUGCACUUUGUGGACUAUGCAAAGCCUCCGAGUGGGAGAUUGUUGGGUUCGUAGGCUUUAGGCCGGCCCUAGUUAUUAGGCCCACUUAGUUAACUUGUUGUCCAAGUAGAAAACCCUAAUCUUGUUCUAUAAAUACCUAUGAUGUAAUUGUAGUCUGUGUCAUUCUGAAAACAGUUGUGAGCAUCUAUUAAAAGUAAAACCCUAGUUGCAACCCGUGGACGUAGGUCACCUUGACCGAACCACGUAAAUUCUCGUGUUCUUUAUUUUCUGCUAGUGUGUGUGUGUUUGUUCCGCUUCUGCUCGAGCCUACUCUGAUCCAAUACCCCUAACAAGUGGUAUCAGAGCCAAAG